rnacentral:rRNA from 1 species
GAUGAACGCUGGCGGCGUGCCUAAUACAUGCAAGUCGAGCGAACGGACGAGAAGCUUGCUUCUCUGAUGUUAGCGGCGGACGGGUGAGUAACACGUGGAUAACCUACCUAUAAGACUGGGAUAACUUCGGGAAACCGUAGCUAAUACCGGAUAAUAUUUUGAACCGCAUGGUUCAAAAGUGGAAGACGGUCUUGCUGUCACUUAUAGAUGGAUCCGCGCUGCAUUAGCUAGUUGGUAAGGUAACGGCUUACCAAGGCAACGAUGCAUAGCCUACCUGAGAGGGUGAUCGGCCACACUGGAACUGAGACACGGUCCAGACUCCUACGGAAGGCAGCAGUAGGGAAUCUUCCGCAAUGGGCGAAAGCCUGACGGAGCAACGCCGCGUGAGUGAUGAAGGUCUUCGGAUCGUAAAACUCUGUUAUUAGGGAAGAACAUAUGUGUAAGUAACUGUGCACAUCUUGACGGUACCUAAUCAGAAAGCCACGGCUAACUACGUG